UUUCACCGUGGUCUCAAUCUCCUGACCUUGUGAUCCGCCCGCCUCGGCCUCCCAAAGUGCUGGGAUUACAGGCGUGAGCCACUGCGCCCGGCCAAGGAUGAACUUUCUACCAUCCAGACUGUCCCCUGCAGAGCAGCUGCUGCCAGACAGCAGGAGCUCCCGCUUUGUGCACAGGAAGGGGCAGGGAGCUUGCAGCAGCCCCGGAAGGCAGGAAUGACUGCGCGGGAACCUCCUUUCUUCUCCCUGAAUCCCAGCCCUGGCAUCUCACCACGGGGCACAGUGAGGGUCCAGGGCUGGGCCCGGGACUCUAGCUGAAUCUUUCAGAGUAUCCCAUCCCUCUGGCCAGUGGCCCAAGCGAGUGAACCAGAAGGCUUCCUUGGGAGUUUUGAAAUUGGAACUGGAGAGAGGCGCUCCCUAUGGGGAGGUAAAUGGGAGCUGGGGCCACCUGUAGUGACAUUUCCUGAGUUCAUGGAGUAGGCGAGUCUCAGAGAGAAAAGCUGACUCAGAGAAAGGGAGUGAUAGCUGGGAGGGGUGGCCCACACAUGCAAUCUCAGCUACUCUAAUGGGAUCUGUUUGUCUGAUGUCUCGGUAUGAAAGGACUUUCUAAGCCUCAGAACAGUGGAAGAACUGAACAAAGGAAAAAACUAAUACAUAUACAAGGAGAUUUUGUGGAAGAAAAAAAUGGAUCAAACUUAAGCAAAAAACUGGGAAGGAUCUUGAUAAAAGAUAUGUCAGAAGGAAGUAAUAUUCUUUAAGAUGUUCUUAGAAAUUCAUCGGACAGGCGGGGUGUGGUGGUUCACACCCGUAAUCCCUGUACUGUGGGAGGCAGAGGUGGGUGGAUCACUUGAGGUCAGGAGUUUGAGACCAGCCUGGGCAACAUGGUGAAACCUCAUCUCUACUAAAAAUACAAAAAUUAGCCGGGUGCGGUGGCACAUUCGGGAGGCUGAGGCAGGAGAAUCACCUGAACCUUGGAGACAUAGGUUGCAGUGAGCUGAGAUCAUACCACUCCACUCCAGCCACGCCACUGAGUGAGACUGUCUCAAAACAAACAAACAAACAAACAAAAAGAAGAGAAACUCAUCAGACAAAGAGAGGAAAAAAAUGAGCAAAGGAAAUCAGCAGAUGUUUCAUUGAAGGACAGAGAGAAAUGGUCAAUACAUGGAUGAAAAUAUGUUUAACUUCAGUAAUAAUCAAGAGAGUCAGUGCCACCUGAGAUGUUGGCAGCCACUUUGGCUGAGCUAGACAGGUGCCUGCAGCUGCUUGAGGACAAGUUCCUGUGGGACCAGGCCUUCCUUACUGGGUCCCAUAUCUCUGUGGCUGACUCGGUGGCAAUCAUGGAGCUGAUGCAUCCCAUCAGCGCUGGCUGCUGAGUCUUUGAAAGCAGACCCACAAUGGCAGCAGGGCGCCCAAUGUGUGGAGACUGCAGUGGGGGAGGACCUCUUCCAGGAGGCCCUCACAGCUGUCCUGAAGGCCAAGACCUGCCUCCAGUAGAACCUGCUGUUAAAGAGAAUCUGAAGCCCUUAAUGCAGCUUUUCUUACUGUGAGUGCAUGUCCCGGACUUCCUGAGCCACUGAGGGGAUGCUGUGUUAGUAGAAUAAAGACAUGGAGCCGUCUGUCUCCUUGGUUGUAAAGAAGACAUAUCUGCGCAGGCUCUGGUCCACAGUUCCUCCAGGUAUCAUGCCUGCAUUCCUUUUGUCUCCUACCCCAUUCCUUUCUAGCUUCCAUGUGACCUCUGAAAAGAGCUUUGGCAAACACUUAUUUGACCCUGUCCUUCUGUGUGGAACUUUCUAUGGUUCUUCACUGCCCAGAGGCUAAAGUACAAGUCAUUGAACUUUGUAUUCAAGGCCUUGCUCCCACUCCUCCAGGUGGCCCCUUCUGCCUGCACAUUUUUAUACCCCGCUCUGGGCUCCCACCUUGGCUUCUGCUCAUGCUGUUUCCUCAUCUUCUUUGCCUGGUGCCCUUCCUGGUCUUUUGGCAUUUGGCACCCUGUCUCUUCUCCAGGGAGACUUCCCUGGCCUCCCCAACCCCAGUCCAGGUCAGAUGACCUCUCUGGCACCUCAGCCCCAGGGUUUCCUUGUGGGGGAUACCCCUGGACUGAGCAUGUAUCAUAGAUGAGGGGUGACCUGGUGAAAAGAUGUCUGAAUCAGGAUCAGCCUUGGUCUCCUAGGUCUCUCUCAUCACUGUGGGGCGAUGUGUCCCACAAGUGGGGUGCACGGCUGGUUCAUGGACCUCCGUGCAGGAAGGGAAGUCCCUGGCUAUUUCCUGGCCCUCUCCCAUGCCUCCUCAUAACCUUAACCACAGUCUUUUCUACACCCCACUCCCUGAUCCCUGGCUUGUCCAUGCCCCACACCUGGUCCCAGACUUGCCACCUGUCCCUGCCCUCUCCCCUUAGGACUGUCAUAUUUACCUGUCGUGUGUCUCAGACCUUCUGAUAUCUGAGUCAUCUAAUAAACAAACUGCUAAUAGGACAAGAUCAUGACAGACAGAGACUCUGUCGGCCUUUCAGUGGAGGCUCCUUUAAGUAUGCACACUUACAGAUAAUUUUAUACAUGUAGCUGAAAUUGUACAUAUAAACCUACACAUUUUUUCUUUCUUUUUUGAGAGGG